rnacentral:rRNA from 1 species
GAUGAACGCUGGCGGCGUGCCUAAUACAUGCAAGUCGGGCGAAUGGAUUGAGAGCUUGCUCUUAUGAAGUUAGCGGCGGACGGGUGAGUAACACGCGGGUAACCUGCCCAUAAGACUGGGAUAACUCCGGGAAACCGGGGCUAAUACCGGAUAACAUUUUGAACCGCAUGGUUCGAAAUUGAAAGGCGGCUUCGGCUGUCACUUAUGGAUGGACCCGCGUCGCAUUAGCUAGUUGGUGAGGUAACGGCUCACCAAGGCAACGAUGCGUAGCCGACCUGAGAGGGUGAUCGGCCACACUGGGACUGAGACACGGCCCAGACUCCUACGGGGGGCAGCAGUAGGGAAUCUUCCGCAAUGGACGAAAGUCUGACGGAGCAACGCCGCGUGAGUGAUGAAGGCUUUCGGGUCGUAAAACUCUGUUGUUAGGGAAGAACAAGUGCUAGUUGAAUAAGCUGGCACCUUGACGGUACCUAACCAGAAAGCCACGGCUAACUACGUGCCAGCCGCCGCAGUAA